rnacentral:rRNA from 1 species
GACGAACCGUGCGAACGUUGUUCGGAAUCACUGGGCUUAGAGGGCGCGUAGGCGGGCUGCCAAGUCCGUAGGUGAAAUCCCCCGGCUCAACCGGGGAACGGCCUCGGAUACUGGCGGCCUGGAGGGGGGUAGGGGCGUGCGGAACUGUGGGUGGAGCGGUGAAAUGCGUUGAGAUCCACAGGAACUCCGGUGGCGAAGGCGGCACGCUGGACCCUUUCUGACGCUGAGGCGCGAAAGCGUGGGGAGCAAACAGG